rnacentral:rRNA from 1 species
UUAUGCCUACGGGACGCAGCAGUGGGGAAUAUUGCACAAUGGGGGAAACCCUGAUGCAGCGACGCCGCGUGAAGGAAGAAGUACUUCGGUAUGUAAACUUCUAUCAGCAGGGAGGAAAAUGACGGUACCUGACUAAGAAGCCCCGGCUAACUACGUGCCAGCAGCCGCGGUAAUACGUAGGGGGCAAGCGUUAUCCGGAUUUACUGGGUGUAAAGGGAGCGUAGGCGGCGAUGCAAGUCAGAAGUGGAAGCCCGGGGCUCAACACCGGGACUGCUUUUGAAACUGCGGUGCUAGAUUGCAGGAGG